rnacentral:rRNA from 1 species
UGGGGGAUAUUGCACAAUGGGCGAAAGCCUGAUGCAGCGACGCCGCGUGGGGGAUGAAGGCCUUCGGGUUGUAAACUUCUUUUGCUCUGAACAAGGCAUGCUAAUGGGUGUGUUGAGUGUAGGGGUUGAUUGGCGCCGGCUAACUACGUGCCAGCAGCCGCGGUAAUACGUAGGGCGCGAGCGUUGUCCGGAAUUAUUGGGCGUAAAGGGCUUGUAGGUGGCUGGUUGCGUCUGUCGUGAAAGCUCAUGGCUUAACUGUGGGUUUGCGGUGGGUACGGGCUGGCUUGAGUGCAGUAGGGGAGGCUGGAAUUCCUGGUGUAGCGGUGGAAUGCGCAGAUAUCAGGAGGAAUACCGGUGGCGAAGGCGGGUCUCUGGGCUGUUACUGACACUGAGGAGCGAAAGCAUGGGGAGCGAACAGG